UUUAUAGACACAGAAGAAAGAUGAUGAUAAGAAGCCAUACAUUGUGAGACAUUUAGGCUCACUCAGGCCAUUCAGAGUUCUGUUUUUCCUUUGACUGGACUAAGCUCCAGCUUUGAAUCCAAGUGGUGCAGUUAAGAAGGAGGAGCAAGAAAGCAGGACAAAUAAAGCAGAGAGCUAGGCACCAGAGGGAUGUGUUUGAUCCAGCACUCCCCUUCUCUUCAUAGCAGAGAAUCAGACACCCAAUCAAUCACAGCAAAGUACAUUUCACAAAUUUGGAGUAAACUUUUAUGUGUACUCAAGGAAGAUGUAUAGAAAGGGAUAUCUUUGAAGAGAUGCUUCAGAAAGGAGAGAGAAUUUGGGGAAACUUUUCCAUGAUUUGAAGAAGAUGGCAAGAAGCCUCUCAACAUAUGUUGGCACCUCCAUAGUGAAUUUCCCAGCAUCCAGAACUGUGAGCUAAUAAAUUUCUUCAUUGUAAAUCA